GCAGUGGGGAAUAUUGCUCAAUGGGCGCAAGCCUGAAGCAGCGACGCCGCGUGAGGGAUGAAGGCCUUCGGGUUGUAAACCUCUUUCAGCUCCGAAGAAGCGAAAGUGACGGUAGGAGCAAAAGAAGCACCGGCUAACUACGUGCCAGCAGCCGCGGUAAUACGUAGGGUGCAAGCGUUGUCCGGAUUUAUUGGGCGUAAAGAGCUCGUAGGCGGUCUGUCGCGUCUGCUGUGAAAACUCGGGGCUUAACCCCGGGCCUGCAGUGGGUACGGGCAGACUAGAGUGCGGUAGGGGAGACUGGAAUUCCUGGUGUAGCGGUGAAAUGCGCAGAUAUCAGGAGGAACACCGGUGGCGAAGGCGGGUCUCUGGGCCGUAACUGACGCUGAGGAGCGAAAUCAUGGGUAGCGAACAGGAUUAGAUACCCUGGUAGUCCAUGCCGUAAACGUUGGGCGCUAGGUGUGGGGCUCAUUCCACGAGUUCCGUGCCGCAGCAAACGCAUUAAGCGCCCCGCCUGGGGAGUACGGCCGCAAGGCUAAAACUCAAAGGAAUUGACGGGGCCCCGCACAAGCGGCGGAGCAUGCGGAUUAAUUCGAUGCAACGCGAAGAACCUUACCAAGG
rnacentral:rRNA from 1 species